rnacentral:rRNA from 1 species
GACGAACCGUACGAACGUUAUUCGGAAUUACUGGGCUUAAAGGGUGCGUAGGCUGUGCGGAAAGUUGGGCGUGAAAUACCUCAGCUUAACUGAGGAACUGCGUUCAAAACUACCGUGCUUGAGGGAGACAGAGGUAAGCGGAACUGAGGGUGGAGCGGUGAAAUGCGUUGAUAUCCUCAGGAACACCGGUGGCGAAAGCGGCUUACUGGGUCUCUUCUGACGCUGAUGCACGAAAGCUAGGGUAGCAAACGGG